UGAAGGAUCAUUCUCUGAUACGACUAUUUUCAGAAGUAAUGAAAUAGCUUUAAAGUAACAGAAUAUUCUUCUAGUUUCCUAAGUAACCUGGAGAAUAUUGGGAACUUUAUUCAAUAUUGCAAAGUAUCAUAUACCCAAACUGUUUUCUUUUUUCUCACAUGUCUUAUAUACAGGAACUUAAUGAAAUGGAAUAAUUUCAGGAAAGGAUUACAUAAUGCCCUAGAAUACUUGAGUUACUAGUGGCAUCAAUGGUUCCAAUGAACAUCCCGAAACCAGAAGAGUUGUCAGACGAAACGUUGUGGAAAUCCUGUCUUCAUUUAUGUAGAAGGCUCAUAUGUGCCCCAUUGUUGAAGAGGACACCAACAGUGUGAUCUGACAGCUGGUACCCAAAGCCAUACUUGUUGGAGUAGUC